GCUCGUGCCUUGAGCUUCUCAUUGAGAAUGGACUUCAGAGCAUUGCAAUGGGUUGUAUAUAUACAGAGGCUAAAAAUUAUCCUCGUGAACCAGCUGCACAUGUGGCAAUAAGGACUGUAAGACGGUUUCUGGAGAAGCAGACAGAAAAAAU